CUUGCUUCUCUUGAGAGCGGCGGACGGGUGAGUAAUGCCUAGGAAUCUGCCUGGUAGUGGGGGAUAACGUUCGGAAACGAACGCUAAUACCGCAUACGUCCUACGGGAGAAAGCAGGGGACCUUCGGGCCUUGCGCUAUCAGAUGAGCCUAGGUCGGAUUAGCUAGUUGGUGAGGUAAUGGCUCACCAAGGCGACGAUCCGUAACUGGUCUGAGAGGAUGAUCAGUCACACUGGAACUGAGACACGGUCCAGACUCCUACGGGAGGCAGCAGUGGGGAAUAUUGGACAAUGGGCGAAAGCCUGAUCCAGCCAUGCCGCGUGUGUGAAGAAGGUCUUCGGAUUGUAAAGCACUUUAAGUUGGGAGGAAGGGCAGUUACCUAAUACGUGAUUGUUUUGACGUUACCGACAGAAUAAGCACCGGCUAACUCUGUGCCAGCAGCCGCGGUAAUACAGAGGGUGCAAGCGUUAAUCGGAAUUACUGGGCGUAAAGCGCGCGUAGGUGGUUUGUUAAGUUGGAUGUGAAAUCCCCGGGCUCAACCUGGGAACUGCAUUCAAAACUGACUGACUAGAGUAUGGUAGAGGGUGGUGGAAUUUCCUGUGUAGCGGUGAAAUGCGUAGAUAUAGGAAGGAACACCAGUGGCGAAGGCGACCACCUGGACUAAUACUGACACUGAGGUGCGAAAGCGU
rnacentral:rRNA from 1 species